rnacentral:rRNA from 1 species
CAGGUGCUGCAUGGCUGUCGUCAGCUCGUGUCGUGAGAUGUUCGGUUAAGUCCGCUAACGAGCGCAACCCUCGCUGUGUGUUAUAUGUGUCACACGGGACUGCCGGUCUUAAGCCGGAGGAAGGUGGGGAUGAUGUCAAGUCAGCAUGGCCUUUAUAUCCUGGGCUACACACACGCUACAAUGGCCAACACAAUAGGUUGCUAAGCCGCGAGGUGGCGCCAAUCCAUAAAGUUGGUCUCAGUUCAGAUCGCAGGCUGCAACCCGCCUGCGUGAAGCCGGAGUUGCUAGUAACCGCAGGUCAGCUAUACUGCGGUGAAUACGUUCCCGGGGCUU